rnacentral:lncRNA from 1 species
UUUAAAUUCAAUUUAUAAAGGUUUAUUACUUAUCAAAUUAGCACUAUCUAAUUUGGUAAGUAACAAAAUUAAACAAGGAAACAAAUAUUUGUAUAAGGUUGAUCAAAUUUGGUAAUUAAUUUGUAUUUUUUUUUUCCGAUAUUAUCCUUAUGAAUGGUAACAUGUUGAGCAGGUAACCACUAUACAAAAGUCAAUCUCGCCCUUAAAAUAUUAACGGUUAAAUUUAUUUUACCUGGUGUAUUGAAGCAUUCCUCAAAAAUAAUUCUGAGCAAAAUUGCAUUUU